AGAAUGAAAAAGAGGAUCUUCGAUCAGAACAGCAAGGAAACAAGAUUCGUGGAUACAGAUAAUAUUAUUACUUUUAAGGGCAAUCAACUUAACCACAGAAUUUCCAUUUACGAAGGCAUGGGCUUCUUAAGGAUAAGACGUUUAUAGAAUCUGUUAAGCAGUGCUACAAAUGCUUUAGAUUUGGACAUAUUAAAUUGUUUUGCAAAAGCAAAGCCAGAUGUAUCAUAUGUAACAAAAUGGCAGAUGUGAGGCCAAACCGAAGUAUAGGAACUGUGGAGGUAACCAUAAAUCAACCGUCUUUGGUUGUCCUGAUUAUCAGAAAAAUAAAGGAUUAAAAGAAAUUAUGCUAAUGUCUCGUAUCACGAUGCUAUAAGAAUUGUGAAAGAAGAGAUAGAAAAUAAUGUAAAUAAAAUAGAUAGAUUUGUGAACUCAAGUAAAUGGCCUACCCUUCCAAUCUCAUACGCGACAGCAGUCUCUCAUAAUAAAGAUAAAGAACAGAAGAUAACCAAGAACUUGGAGCCGCAAGAACUGACUUUUGCAGAGAUACCUAAUAGGAGACAAGACAGGAAGGAUAUUAACAGUCCUUUAAUAAUUAAAAUAAAACAAGGAGCAACACAAGGCAAAAUUAUAAGCUAAAUGACCCAAAUGUUAUUUCUUAUAAACAAUUUAAUUUGAGACAGGAAGAUCUUACGUCAGAGAAGAGAGGAAUAGCGUUACGGACGUUUGACUCAGGAAAAGACAGGAGUACACCCAAGAGAAAAAAGGAUUACGCGAUAGACCCACAGGAGGAACGGACCAAGUAUCCAUUAUAUUUAAAUAAGACAAUAGCCCAGUAUGUUGAUAUCAGAGAGAAGAAAGCUCCAGAGACGGAAAAACAACCAAUCGAUGAUGACUCCAAUAUUAAUAACAGAAGCAAAAAGAAAUUUUCGGUGAGUAAUAAAAUAAAGCUAAUUAAAAAUAAAUGAAAUGUGAGAUAUUCACCUUUCAGUAGAGCACAGGUGGAGUAUUCUUCUAUUAUAACUUCAAUGGUAAGAAUGUUACUGUGGAAUGCUAAAGGAUUACGAGCAAACAAAGAAGAAUUAGAAGCACACAUCAAGAAUUAUGAUAUUGUGGUUAUCAUGAAAACCAAGGUUAACAAUUUUGAAAAAGUAAUUUUUUCUGGUUACUAUAAAAUUGGUAAAAAAAGUCGAGAUUGUAGUAGCGGAGGCAUCAUUGUGGCUAUUAAAAAAAAAGAUUAAGUUCUCUUUAUUAUUAAAGAGUCUUAUUAAAAGUCUUAUUAAAGACUGGAUGCACGGCGUCCAAAUAGAAGAGAAAAUCUGAACUCGUGGAAAAACCUGCUAAAGUUUGAUAAUAAAGGAUACGGAUCUAUUAUCGUCGGGGAUUUUAAUGCCCAUAAUAUAAUGUGGAAUUGCAGAGACACGAACUAUAAUGGCCUAAGUCUAUAUGAGCAGAUGUAAGAUAAUGAAUACUAACGUGUGAACCAGAAUACCAUGUCCAGGCUAAAUUUUUGUAAUCAAAAAGCAUCUAAUAUCGACUUAAUUUUCUCUUUUCGCAGAUACCAACCUAUAAGACAAUGUUGUGCAACACACACCGAGAAUAGCGCGAGCAAUAAGGAUGUUGAGUGGCCUCGGGCGAAGAUACCGUCCGAUCACACUGAACGUCGCACCGGGCAAUGUAGCCAGCAAUUACUGACUAAGCAAGUGCACGGACCAAAGGUCUAUGACCGCGGGAAAAACCCCCUAGCAACAGGUCAAAAAGCAGCGUAAACAACGCAAAAAGAAAACGAGCGGACUCAUUAAUAAUUAAUACAGCGACGAAUCUACGUCGUUCGUCGUAACGCAUAAUUGUACUUAAUCAUUUGCAACACUUAUCUAUUCGGGUUUAAUAACUGAAAAAUAUCACUACGUUAGAACAAAUAUAUCUUAUAACUACUGUCGGCGUUAUUUCUACGGAAUCUGAUCCUGAAACGUCAUCGGCAGCGAUCCCGUACCAUGUCCCGAGACCAGGGCACAACAAAAUUACCUAUUAUCAAGAAACGGAAACAUAAGCCUCGGAUCACUUUCCAAUAAAUAUUGAAUUGGAUCUGGAAAUAGUACGCUACAGAAAACGUACAAAUAGGAUAACAAUAAAAAAAAAACAGAUUGGAAAAUUUAUACAUCGAGGAAUACAUCAAGAAAAACUGGGAAGAUUUCAUGAUAACAUGCAACUCAAAAAAUUUCCAAGACAGAUAUGAGAGCCUUAUAAAACUUAUUAAGGAGGCAGUUAAUCUUGCAUCUGGUAGAAAAAAAAAUUGCAAUAAGGAUCUAGAAACACCAAAAAAAGAAAAACAUGGACAGCAAGGUAAUGGGAUUUGAAUUGUACAGCUAUUAAGCUAAGAAAAUCUAAACUUAAAAUUUACAGAAAAACUCAGCGCUUUAAUACAUAUAUAAAAUGUAAAAAACAAGUAGCCUUUACUAGAAGAUUGUUUAAACAUACGGAGAGAAAUUUACUCUUAAAAUUCACCCUUAAAAUCUAAUAAUUGUAAGAUAUGUGACUUCGAUAAAUUUUACUGUACUUUUUAAUAAAAUUUACUAAAAAUAUAGUAAAAUUUAUUAUACUUUUAGUAAAAUUUUCUAAAAGUAUAGUAAAAUUCUUUGGGGUCACAUAUUAUCUCAUAAUUACCAGGUUUUGAAGGUAAAUUUUAAGAGAAAAUUCUCUCUGUGCAAGAAAAGAAAAACUGCUUCAAGAAUUUUUGUAACAGUAUUUGCAGAGUUACCAGUUUGAGUUACGUCUGGAAUACUAUAAAGAUUUACAAAAAAUCAUGGAAUAGAGUGAGGUGGAAUCAUUGGCCAGUAACCGAUUGAGAGCAAGUAAUUAGAGAGGAAAUUGAUUGGCUCUCCCCCCUGGAAGUUGCCGAGCCGUUAGAAGAACUGAAUUAUAGUAACAUAGGUUUUAAUAAUACAUUAAACCGUAAAUUUACCAGGACAGAACUACACCGGGCACUUAAUAUGAUUAGGAAGAAUUCGGCCCCAGGCCGAGAUAACAUUGAUUAUGGAAUAAUUAAAGCUUUACCUCUUAAAACCUUUUUUAUUGGAAGAUUUUUAUUGAAUCUGUUUAACGACACAUGGUUUGGUAAACCCAUACCUACUGAUUGGUUUAAAUAUCAAGUCAUGUUUAUAGACAAGGUAAAGAAAAACAAGAUCAGACCUAUAUUACUCUUGUAUUGGAAAGGUUAUGGAACGCUUGGUGAAUGAAAAAAUAGUAUGGUAGGCAGAGUCAGAAAAAACUAUACCACCGGCAAAAUCGCUUCCGCAGAGAAAGAUCUUUCAUCGGAAACCUGGGUUUAAUUACCUACAAUGCUCGAACGGCUCUAUCUGGCGAGAGCUAUGCCCUUGCUGCCUUUCUGGACGUUUCCUCGGCCUAUGACAAUGUGAAAUUUAAUGUUAUGAGGAAUAUUUUAGAGAACCUGGAUUGUCCGCAAGGAAUACUCAACUUUAUUUCAAAAUGGUUGCAGGUCAGAGAAAUGAAAUACGUAAUCAGUCCUCAAGAAAGUACAAGUUUGGCAAGGAAGGGUUUACCGCAGGGGGCAGUGCUUAGCCCGAUUCUUUACGCUCUAUAUAUCCAUGAUAUCACAACAAAUACAAGUGAGGAUGUUAAAAUACUCGAGUUCGCGGAUGACAUAGCGGUAUAUGUAUGAGGGGCUGAUCGGAGAGACAAUGGGAGAAAGAUAGAAAAAGCCGUAAAUAUUAUCACGGAAAACUUGAAGAUGAUUAGCCUAGAGCUAAAACCCGGAAAAACCAUGCUGGUUGAGUUCUCGAGGAGUGGAUUUGUAGACCCGCAAAUGGCUAUUCAUAUUAGAGACACUGUUGUUGGAAGCUCAAAGGAGGAGAGAUUCCCGAGUUUAAUGUUUGACAACCAACAUUUACGAACCAAGUACAACAGGUAAGAGGCAGAAUGGACAAGACUAACUUUAUUUUAAAGUUUUAUUUAAAUACAGUUACUAGAAGCUCCGAUGUAGGCAGAACACUGAUAUUGUAUAGGAGUCUAGUUACCAAUGAUUCCACCUCACUCUAUUCCAUGAUUUUUUGUAAAUCAAUAGACUCUAGUACGAUCGGUGUCGGGCUAUGGUAGUUUCGUAUACGCACCAACCACUUAACAGCUUAGUCUGAAACUCGAAAGAGCUCACUACAAUGGCCUCAGAACUGCUACAAAAACAGUACCCCUGUUAAUAUCAUGAUUGCAGAGUCCAAGAUUAUUUUUCUGGCACACAGAGCCUUGUUGGCUUUGAACUUCUGUAUGAAAGUUAAGAAGUAUGAUAAACCGGGAUUGCAGAGAAGCUUUAAUGAGUUGUGUAUAGUGGAGAGAUACAUCGUACUCAGAAAUCCGAUAAAAAAGAGUAUGUUAGCUUUAGCCUGGAAAAAGAUCAACGGCUUUACGGACCAGAUUGGAGAUCCUGUAAAUGGAUAUGAAAUAUGGUCAAUAAACUUCGAGGAUAUAAAAGAGGAUAUUACCGUGGACAUGGAAAUAGGACUUUUCAAGAAUAAUGUUAAAAAGAAUGCAUAAGACUUGAAGACCUGAAAUAUACUCCAGAAGAUUACAGACUGAUUGAGGAAAUCAAGAGUAAGCAUCACAUCCAACGGGAAUGUGGUUUAUACAGAUGGUUCGAGACCCAAGAAUGCAGCGACUACGGGCGCGAGCAUUGUUUUUAACAAAGAUAAAGCAUGGUACAUGAGCCUCCCAAAAACCUGUUCUUCUUUUACGGCGGAGGCCUUUGCUGUCAAGACAGCCUUGAAAAGGAUAAAAGUGGAUCAGAUCAGGAAGGAACCGGAUGUUAGAGACAUUAUAAUCAUAACAGAUAGCCAAAGUGUCUUGAAGGCUGUAAUGAACAACAGGUUAGAUGUCUAUAAGAAUGAAUAUAUACUGGAAAUUAAAAAGAGACUUUCGGAUUAGAGAUAAAUUUAAGGUGAAAAUAGUCUACGUUUGGAUCCCAGCUCAUCGGGGUAUCACUAAAAAUGAGGCGGAUAAAUUGGGUGCCUUGGAGAAAGCUGAUGUGGAGAUAGAAGUCCCCAUAUCGGAUUUUACAGUUCUUUUUGCGGAGGAGGCUUGGAAAUUAACAUAAACUCGAGUCAUAGAAAAGUCAAUAAAAAGGAAAAUUUUAUUUUAACAAAUUCUUCAACAGUAAUAUAAAAAAA